GUGUGUGUGAGGGUGCCGUGAGGGUGUGUGUGAGGGUGUGUGUGGGUGUGUGUGUGUGUGAGGGUGUGUAUGUGUGAAAGGCACUGGGAAAAGAAUCCCAUGCUAAAUGCCCAAGAGCCCAGAGGAGAGGAAGACGGGGCCAGGAGCCUACAGAGGAGGAAGGGUAGCCAUUCUGGGCCUGGAGACCCCCACCUUCCUCCCCUAAAAUACAGGGAAGAAGAAGGCCUGCCCUAGAGGCCAGUAGGAGCUGAGCAAAAGGAAUCCUAAGUCCAAGAGAGGAGCAGAGGACCUGGCCGCCAGCUCCACCCUCCCUCCCAGGGCCAAAUUUAGCCUGGGCUUAGAAGCUGCGGCCCAGCCAGCUCAUUAAAGGGCCCACGACCCUUUGGGCCUGUGCUGUCAGACCCACCCGGGCCCUAGGACACCUCCAGCCCUCAGAGCUCCCAGCCCCUUCAUCCCAGAGCCCAGCUCCCAGCCCCAUUCCCUGGAUCCCCAGCUGGCCAUGGCAUUAACACCCCAAAGCCCUUCUGGCGCCUGCCUCACCCAACCCAGAUCCCUCUUCUGUGGGCCCUCCACACCUCCGUCUUACCACCCCUAAAUCCUGCCCCCUCAUCCUGGGCCUCCCCGCUGAACAAGGCCCCAACUUGCCCACGAGGAGAGGAGUCCAGAAGAGUGUCUCAGCCAUGGCUGCCCGGCCUGGCCCGCCCGGCCAAGCUGGGUGUCCCCUUAGCCCCUGCGUGCUUUCCUGGGCACAACACAAUCACACAGACUGCUCCAAGCUCCUCGAAGACUAGGAUCUUGUCACGUUUGUAUCCUUGGGCCUGGCACAGGGCCUGGUAACUAGUAGGUGUAGCUGGCUGGCGGCAGCUUCCUUAACAGCAAACGUAGGUGCCAUCCACCCAGCCUUUAUCCCCAGUCCAAGCACUUCAGCGUGGAGGUCUAGCAAGCCCUGGACAGGACCAGCCAGCUAGAGACAGACAUUUUGGGAUACCAGCCUGGAGACCUAAAUGUACCCAGAAUCCCCCGCCUUUUUAUCGGUGGAUUUCAGCCCUCAAAGCGUUCCGUGAGCCUCUGACCGCCCAAAUCCAUCACACAUGAGUUGGAAUGCCAGGGACCAUUCCCGGCCAAACGUUAGAUUACAGGAGUAAGAGAGAAGAGGAGGGACUGUCCGAGGUGCCUCGGCACUAUGGCUGCACAGCUGGAUCUCUGGACACGGAGCCCUGGACCGUUUCCACCCAGACACUCCCAUUCCAUCAAGUGGGGGUGUGGACGUUUAUGCAAUUCUGGAAGGUCUCCUGGUGGGGACCCCUGGGAAAGAGACUAAUAAGAAAGCAUCCAGUUUCUUCGGUCUCUGACGUUGUUGUCUGCACAAGAGAGUUAAGGCAGCCAUCUUGGGACCAUGAGGGAGCCAGUCUAAGAGGCAAAUCAACACAAUGAGAGGGUGUUGGAAAAAGACAAAAAGAACCUGGUCCUUGAUGUCACAGCCAGGCCUCUGAAUUAACCACCCCCAGGACUUCUUGUUACGUGAGCUAAUAAACGUUCCUUUUUGCUUAAACCCCUUCUAGUUGGGCUUUCUGUUGUAACUUGCACCGAAAACUACAAUAGGAUAGCAAAGGAUAUGAACAUAAGUGAUUUGCCUAGAGGAAACCCACAUGGUCAAUGAGAAUAAGAUGCUCAGCCUCAUAGGCAGGGAAUGCAGCUUCAAAUGAGAUGCCACUUCAUGCCUAUCAGAUUGGCAAACAUAAGUCUAACAAGAGCAAAAGUUGGCAAGGAUGUGGUAAAACAGGAUGUCUUGUACAAACGCUGGUGGUGAGAGGAUCAAUUGGUUCAGACGCUGUAGAGAGCAGUUUGGCAGUACUAGUCAACUUCAAAGUGUGCCUGCCCGACAAUCCUAGCUUUCUAAGUAUAUGCCCUAAUAAUGGGUUCAGAGAAAAGUCCAAGCAUGUUCAUUGAAGCCCUGUUUAUAUAACAGCAAAACAGGCCCGGUGCAAUGGCUCAUGCCUGUAAUCCCAGCACUUUGGGAAGCUGAGGCAGGCAGAUCACUUGAGCU
rnacentral:lncRNA from 1 species